rnacentral:tRNA from 1 species
AGAUAAGAAGCGAAGUAUUGCUAUCGGUUUCGACCCGGUCUUUGAUUAUAUAAUCCUUAUCUU